rnacentral:misc_RNA from 1 species
GCCGGAUUCUAUUGGGAAUGUUGCGGAAGUGGCGUCUAGGCAUUUAACUAUGAAUUGUCUGUUGGUUAGGUAGGAUUUUAAGAUGGAGUAGUAUGGAUGGGGUAGGAUCUUUUUGAUCUUGUAGAGUAGCCCUUCAUGCCAUACUUUGUCGAAUGCCUGUUGGAUGUCUAAGAAUACCGCUGAACAGUAUUUUUUCUUUUCAAGGGGUUUGGCUGAUCAUGUGGGUUAUGCGGUGGAUUUGCUCUACUGUUGAGUGUUGUUUUCGAAAGCCGAAUUGGUGGUCUGGGAGUGUUUUCAAUUCUUCUAGGAGUGGAAGGAGACGAUUCGUGAGCAUCCUCUCGAAUAGUUUAGACAGGGUACGUAAAAGACUGAUUGGGCGAUAGGAGCUGGUUUCAUAUAUUGGUUUACCGGAUUUAGGGAUGAGGGUGAUCAGUGAGAUUUUCCAAGCCUUGGGAACGUGUUGAAGGCGGAGGAUAGCGUUAAAGGUUGAUGCG